GGGGACCUAGUACAAUGGUAGAAUUUCGCCCUUGCACGGUGAAGAUAUGAGUUCGAUUCUCAUGGUCUCCA